GCGUUCUUGAGGUCAGGUGGAAACCUGAUGCCAGGGAAACUCCCAGGAAUCCACAAGGAUGAUUCAGCUUUCCAGUAGCUGCGUAGCUCUGCCUCUGAAGAAAGACUCCUAACAAGAGUGGAUAAUGUAGCCUGAACUGGCCAUCUCCUAUGAUCGGAUUGGUGACUACUCCAAUUGUCAUCAGAGAGCCUUCAUCCAGUAACUGAUGGGAACAGAGACCCACAGUCAAACCUUGGGCCAAGCUCAGAAAUGGGACUUUCCCAUUCUAUAAAGAACACACACAAUUGCUUCUUCCUGCUUCCGGGAAUGAAAUGGCUGCUUCUGGAAAGAGCAUAAAGCUUGGAGGGUGAGGACUCAUUCAAAGGACUCGAAGGAAUCAAUGUCAGUCCCCAGACCAUUCAAUAAGCUGGGGCUUACUUUUGAGUGCCCACUGUGUUAGCAUAAUAAAGUCUGCAGAAAACUA